rnacentral:rRNA from 1 species
GCAGCCACUCAUUAAAAGAGUGCGUAAUAGCUCACUGGUCGAGUGACUCUGCGCGGAAAAUAUAACGGGGCUAAGCAUACAACCGAAGCUUGGGAUUGUCUAAAGACAGUGGUAGGGGAGCGUCGUGUAUGGGGUGAAGUCGCAUCGGAAGGAGCGGUGGACUGUACACGAGUGAGAAUGCCGGAAUGAGUAGCGAGAAUUAUGUGGGAAUCAUAAUGGCCGAAAAUCUAAGGUUUCUUGGGGAAGGUUCGUCCGCCCAAGGUAAGCCGGGAGCUAAGGCGAGGCCGCAAGGCGUAGUCGAUGCACAUACGGUAAAGAUUCCGUAGCCGCCGAACUUUAAGUCAGAGGGACACUUGCAGAUAGCGGAACCCAGCCGUUGGUUGAGCUGGGCGAAAGGGACUGAAAUUAGUAGGGAAGUCCGCGAUGCUGAAAGGCGAGAAAAGCUCUGAUGGAUACUAAGGCGCCCGUACCGCAAACCGACACAGGUAGAUGAGGAGAGAAUCCUAAGGCCAACGGGAGAAGGGUUGUUAAGGAACUCGGCAAAUUGACCCCGUAACUUCGGAAGAAGGGGAGCCCCGAAAGGGGCCGCAGUGAAUAGGCCCAAGCAACUGUUUACCAAAAACACAGGUUUAUGCUAAAUCGAAAGAUGACGUAUAUGAGCUGACGCCUGCCCGGUGCCGGAAGGUUAAGAGGAGAGCUUAGAGGCAACUCGAAGGUUUGAAUUGAAGCCCCGGUAAACGGCGGCCGUAACUAUAACGGUCCUAAGGUAGCGAAAUUCCUUGUCAGGUAAGUUCUGACCCGCACGAAUGGCGUAAUGAUUUGGGCACUGUCUCGACAGCCCGCCCGGCGAAAUUGUAGUACUGGUGAAGAUGCCAGUUACCCGCAACUAGACGGAAAGACCCCAUGGAGCUUUACUGCAGUUUAAUACUGGGAAUCGGUAAUGCAUGUACAGGAUAGGUGGGAGACAUGGAAGCAUGGUCGUCAGGUCAUGUGGAGUCACCGGUGGGAUACCACUCUUGUAUUGCUGAUUUCCUAACCUGCGGCCGUGAAUCCGGUCGGGGGACACUGUUAGACGGGCAGUUUGACUGGGGCGGUCGCCUCCAAAAGAGUAACGGAGGCGCUCAAAGGUUCGUUCAGCACGGACGGAAAUCGUGCAUUGAGUGUAAACGCAUAAACGAGCCUAACUGCGAGACCGACGGGUCGAGCAGUAACGAAAGUUGGAGUUAGUGAUCCGGUGGUAUGUGAGUGGAAAUGCCAUCGCUCAACGGAUAAAAGCUACCCUGGGGAUAACAGGCUGAUCUCCCCCAAGCGUCCACAGCGACGGGGAGGUUUGGCACCUCGAUGUCGGCUCGUCGCAUCCUGGGGCUGUAUUCGGUCCCAAGGGUUUGGCUGUUCGCCAAUUAAAGCGGCACGCGAGCUGGGUUCAGAACGUCGUGAGACAGUUCGGUCCCUAUCUGUUGCGGGCGUAAGAGAUUUGAAGGGAGCUGUCCUUAGUACGAGAGGACCGGGAUGGACGUACCUCUGGUGCACCAGUUGUCCUGCCAAGGGCAUAGCUGGGUAGCUAUGUACGGACGAGAUAAACGCUGAAAGCAUCUAAGCGUGAAACUCCCCCUAAGAUGAGAUCUCUCAUCCUUUAU